GACGGAGGAUGCAAGCGUUAUCCGGAAUUAUUGGGCGUAGAGCGUCCGCAGGUGGCUGUUCAAGUCUGCUGUCAAAGCGCAGAGCUUAACUCUGUACAGGCGGUGGAAACUGAAGAGCUAGAGUAUGGUAGGGGUAGAGGGAAUUCCCGGUGUAGCGGUGAAAUGCGUAGAUAUCGGGAAGAACACCAGUGGCGAAAGCGCUCUACUGGGCCAUAACUGACACUGAGGGACGAAAGCUAGGGGAGCGAAAGGG
rnacentral:rRNA from 1 species